ACAACGACUCUCGGCAACGGAUAUCUCGGCUCUUGCAUCGAUGAAGAACGUAGCGAAAUCGAUACUUGGUGUGAAUUGCAGAAUUCCGUGAACCAUUGAGUUUUUGAACGCAAGUUGCGCCCUUAGCCUUUAGGCCGAGGGCAAGUUUGCCUUGGUGUCNNN
rnacentral:rRNA from 1 species